GAUGAACGCUGGCGGCGUGCCUAAUACAUGCAAGUCGAGCGAACAGACGAGGAGCUUGCUCCUCUGACGUUAGCGGCGGACGGGUGAGUAACACGUGGAUAACCUACCUAUAAGACUGGGAUAACUUCGGGAAACCGGAGCUAAUACCGGAUAAUAUAUUGAACCGCAUGGUUCAAUAGUGAAAGACGGUUUUGCUGUCACUUAUAGAUGGAUCCGCGCCGAAUUAGCUAGUUGGGAAGGUAACGGCUUACCAAGGCAACGAUGCGUAGCCGACCUGAGAGGGUGAUCGGCCACACUGGAACUGAGACACGGUCCAGACUCCUACGGGAGGCAGCAGUAGGGAAUCUUCCGCAAUGGGCGAAAGCCUGACGGAGCAACGCCGCGUGGGUGAUGAAGGUCUUCGGAUCGUAAAACUCUGUUAUUAUGGAAGAACAAAUGUGUAAGUAACUAUGCACGUCUUGACGGUACCUAAUCAGAAAGCCACGGCUAACUACGUG
rnacentral:rRNA from 1 species